rnacentral:SRP_RNA from 1 species
GCCAGGUGUGGUGGCACGUGCAUUAGUCCCAGCUACUCGGGAGGCUGAGGUGGGAGGAUCGCUUGAGCCUAGGAGUUCUGGGCUGUGGUGCGCUGUGCCGAUCGGGUGUCCACACUAAGUUCGGCAUCAAUAUGGUUACCUCCGGGGAGCAGGGGAUCACCAGGUUGCCUAAGGAGGGGUGAACCGGCCCAGAUCAGAAACAGAGCAGGUCAAAACUCUGGUGCUGAUCAGUAGUGGGAUCACACCUGUGAAUGGCCACUGCACUCCAGCCUGGGCAACAUAGUGAGACCCCAUCUCA